rnacentral:misc_RNA from 1 species
GAAAUGCGAUAAGUAGUGUGAAUUGCAGAAUUCAGUGAAUCAUCGAAUCUUUGAACGCACAUUGCGCCCCUUGGUAUUCCAUGGGGCAUGCCUGUUCGAGCGUCAUUUGUACCCUCAAGCUCUGCUUGGUGUUGGGUGUUUGUCCCCGUCUCCGCGCGUGGACUCGCCCCAAAGUGAUUGGCAGCCGGCGUCCUGGUCCCGGAGCGCAGCACAUGUCGCGCAAACGAGUGCCUUGGUACGGCGGCGUCCAUAAGCCCCUCUCUCACGCUCUUGACCUCGGAUCAGGUAGGGAUACCCGCUGAACUUAAGC